rnacentral:rRNA from 1 species
UACGUAGGGCGCAAGCGUUGUCCGGAAUUAUUGGGCGUAAAGAGCUCGUAGGCGGCCUGUCGCGUCUGCUGUGAAAUCCCGGGGCUUAACCCCGGGCCUGCAGUGGAUACGGGCAGGCUGGAGGCAGGCAGGGGAGAACGGAAUUCCCGGUGUAGCGGUGAAAUGCGUAGAUAUCAGGAGGAACACCUGCGGUGUAGACGGCUUUCUGGACCAUUGCUGACGCUGAGACACGAAAGCGUGGGUAGCAAACAGG